rnacentral:rRNA from 1 species
CGAACGGGUGAGUAAUGCGUGACCAACCUGCCCCAUGCUCCAGAAUAGCUCUUGGAAACGGGUGGUAAUGCUGGAUGCUCCAACUUGACGCAUGUCUUGUUGGGAAAGUGUUUAGUGGCAUGGGAUGGGGUCGCGGCCUGUUAGCUAGUUGGUGGGGUAGUGGCCUACCAAGGCAAUGAUGGGUAGCCGGGUUGAGAGACCGACCGGCCAGAUUGGGACUGAGACACGGCCCAGACUCCGUACGGGGAGGCAGCAGUA